GAAAGAUGAAAAGAACUUUGAAAAGAGAGUUAAACAGUACGUGAAAUUGUUGAAAGGGAAACGAUUAAAGCCAGUCGUACCGGCGGGUAAUCAACCUUUCUGGCGCGAUUAUUUGGACAUGUUGGAGCCUAACCGGUCCUCUUGUUUUUUAUAUUCGUUCCCCUUGGGUGUACUUGCCCGUGUGGUAGGUUAACAUCAAUUUCAGACGUCAUAAAAUGACGGGAGGAAUGUAGCUUUGGUCUCGUACUGAAGUGUUAUA
rnacentral:rRNA from 1 species